rnacentral:rRNA from 1 species
UACAGAGGCCUCGAGCGUUAGGCGGAAUCACUGGGCUUAAAGCGUGUGUAGGUGGAUGCCUAAGUACCUUGUGAAAUCCCAUGGCUUAACCAUGGAAUUGCUUGGUAUACUGGGUGUCUUGAGCCACUCAGGGGCGAGCGGAACAAACGGUGGAGCGGUGAAAUGCGUAGAUAUCGUUUGGAACGCCAAUGGUGAAAACAGCUCGCUGGGGGUGCGCUGACAUUGAGACACGAAAGCCAGGGGAGCAAACGGG